GAUGAACGCUGGCGGCGUGCCUAAUACAUGCAAGUCGAGCGAACGGACGAGAAGCUUGCUUCUCUGAUGUUAGCGGCGGACGGGUGAGUAACACGUGGAUAACCUACCUAUAAGACUGGGAUAACUUCGGGAAACCGGAGCUAAUACCGGAUAAUAUUUUGAACCGCAUGGUUCAAAAGUGAAAGACGGUCUUGCUGUCACUUAUGGAUGGAUCCGCGCUGCAUUAGCUAGUUGGUAAGGUAACGGCUUACCAAGGCAACGAUGCAUAGCCGACCUGAGAGGGUGAUCGGCCACACUGGAACUGAGACACGGUCCAGACUCCUACGGGAGGCAGCAGUAGGGAAUCUUCCGCAAUGGGCGAAAGCCUGACGGAGCAGCGCCGCGUGAGUGAUGAAGGUCUUCGGAUCGUAAAACUCUGUUAUUAGGGAAGAACAUAUGUGUAAGUAACUGUGCACAUCUUGACGGUACCUAAUCAGAAAGCCACGGCUAACUACGUG
rnacentral:rRNA from 1 species